rnacentral:rRNA from 1 species
AACGAACGCUGGCGGCAUGCCUAACACAUGCAAGUCGAACGAGACCUUCGGGUCUAGUGGCGCACGGGUGCGUAACGCGUGGGAACCUGCCCUUAGGUUCGGAAUAACUCCCCGAAAGGGGUGCUAAUACCGGAUAAUGUCUUCGGACCAAAGAUUUAUCGCCUUUGGAUGGGCCCGCGUUGGAUUAGCUAGUUGGUAGGGUAAAAGCCUACCAAGGCGACGAUCCAUAGCUGGUCUGAGAGGAUGAUCAGCCACACUGGGACUGAGACACGGCCCAGACUCGUACGGGAGGCAGCAGUGGGGAAUAUUGGACAAUGGGCGAAAGACUGAUCCAGCAAUGCCGCGUGAGUGAUGAAGGCCGUAGGGUUGUAAAGCUCUUUUACCCGGGAUGAUAAUGACAGUACCGGGAGAAUAAGCUCCGGCUAACUCCGUG